GAUGAACGCUGGCGGCGUGCCUAAUACAUGCAAGUCGAGCGAACGGACGAGAAGCUUGCUUCUCUGAUGUUAGCGGCGGACGGGUGAGUAACACGUGGAUAACCUACCUAUAAGACUGGGAUAACUUCGGGAAACCGGAGCUAAUACCGGAUAAUAUUUUGAACCGCAUGGUUCAAAAGUGAAAGACGGUCUUGCUGUCACUUAUAGAUGGAUCCGCGCUGCAUUAGCUAGUUGGUAAGGUAACGGCUUACCAAGGCAACGAUGCAUAGCCGACCUGAGAGGGUGAUCGGCCACACUGGAACUGAGACACGGUCCAGACUCCUACGGGAGGCAGCAGUAGGGAAUCUGCCGCAAUGGGCGAAAGCCUGACGGAGCAACGCCGCGUGAGUGAUGAAGGUCUUCGGAUCGUAAAACUCUGUUAUUAGGGAAGAACAUAUGUGUAAGUAACUGUGCACAUCUUGACGGUACCUAUCAGAAAGCCACGGCUAACUACGUG
rnacentral:rRNA from 1 species